AGCUGCCCGAGGAGCCAGGCUGGGGAAGGGAGGGAUGUGAGCCUUAGAGGGCAUCAUCUCAGACUAAGGGAUCAGGGGUCUUGGCUGGAGGAGAUCGGUUGGCGAAUGCUGGUUCCAACAGCCUCCCUAGACAAUCCUGGCUUGCUAUAGGAAGGGAAGCCAGCUGCACCAUGUCUGUGAGCUGUGGACCACUGGGAACCUCUCUGACUCAGGAGAUCCUCAGAUCCCUGGGCCUUGCCGACAAGACUGCGGCCUGGGGAACCCUGGGCACCCUCAGGACGUUCUUGAGCUUCAGUGUGGACAAGGAUGUACAAAGACUGCUGAAGGCCAUUGCAGGCCAAGGCCAGCAUCAAGCUCACUGUGUACCUAAUGGCUGAACACCACAGCCUCCUCCCCAUCUCCCAGGGCGGGGUUACAGGUGUGGACUGCAGUACCAUUGUGGAUGUACUGACCAAUCGCAGCAGAGAGCAAAGACAGCUCAUUUCUCGAGCCUUCCAAGAGCGCACCAAACAGGAUCUAUUGAAGUCCUUGCAGGCAGCACUCUCUGGAACACCAUACGCCCUAACUUCCUCUUGAGGCCGGACCUCUAAUUUUGAGGCCGGACCUCUAAUUUCUUUAAUUAUCUUUGGAUUUCCCUCUUCUCAAAGUGGCGUCUUCUAGCACCAUCCUAGAGAGGGGUAAGGGAGGUCUCUGAUUGUCUGCCUACUCAGUCCCUCCAAAGGCCAGAACACCUCCCUGGCAGUCAAAUGCCUUGGCAGAUUUAUGUUUCCGGAGUAAAGUUUUGGGGAGCAGGCUGCAGAGCAGGAAGAGGCCAAGGAGUUUGAGGUGCCUUUGAAGUGCACUCAGUCAUUCAACAGGAGCCCUGUUUCUGCCCCGGCACUGCACUUAACAGUUAUCAAGACACCCCAUGCCUGGGUCUCCUCCCCAGGAAAUUUCGGGCAACUAAGAACUGUAACAUCCCCCCAACUCAUUUUGUCAAUACAGGGAUUUGGAAAUAU
rnacentral:lncRNA from 1 species